AACAGAGUAGAGACAAAACUCAAAGCCAGGGGAAAGAUCAAUCAUAUUCAUUUCUCUCUUUUCUUCUUUUUAUCUUUGCUACUUUCCUUUGGCACAUUGAAGCAAAGGCUGUAAAAACAUGAGAUAUAUAUAAAGGGAAAGGACAUCAACCCUUUGGCUUUUGAUCUUGUCCUCCACCCGGGUUCAUAUUCUGUCAAGAAGAGGAAAACAAAACACUCCAUUGCUUCGAAAGCCAGCCCUCUGUUUUGUCACUUCUGGCCAACCCCAAACCCAAUUGCUCUGUCUCUGUGUUUUUCUUACUUUUGCCUCGUCUUCAAGGAAAGCACUUGCCUCUUUACUUUCAUUUGCCACUCUUUUGUUUUCCCUUUUGAUGAUUCUGAGGCGCACCUGAACCAAGCUCCAUCAUCAUCAUUUUAGUACUUCUGGGAAGGGGGGGUUUUGGAUCAUUAAAUGAGGGCUGGUUGGUUGCCUUGCCUACCAUUGUA
rnacentral:lncRNA from 1 species